rnacentral:lncRNA from 1 species
UCACUCAUUGAUCCCAUGACCCCACCAAUGAUCCCACUGGUGACGUGUCUCCCAUCGAUCCCAUGACCCCACCGAUGAUCCCAAUGGUGAUGUGUCUCCCAUCGAUCCCAUGACCCCACCGAUGAUCCCAAUGGUGACGUGUCUCCCAUUGAUCCCAUGACCCCACGAUGAUCCCAAUGGUGACGUGUCUCCCAUUGAUCCCAUGACCCCCCCAGCAAUCCAACCCAUCCUACAGAUGGUCCCAUUUAUCCCAGCGAUACCAGCAAUCCCACUGAUGCCACCGAUGAUGCCACCAGUGACCCAUUGGUCCCGUGACCCCACUGAUGAUCCCAUCCAUCCCACCCAUCCCAGCAGUCCCACCGAUGAUCCCAUCCGUCCCAGUGAUCCCACUGAUACCAACUAUGAUCCCAUCCGUGAUCCCACCCGUGUCACCAUCGAUCACAUGACGUCACUGUUGAUCCCAUCCAUCCCACCAUCCCAGUCAUCUCAGUGAUCCCAUCCAUCCCAGCGAUCCCAGCGAUCCCAGUGAUCCCACCAAUCCCAGUGAUGAUCCCAUCCAUCCCAGUAUGAUCCCAUCCAUCCCAUCAAUCCCAGUGAUGAUCCCAUCCAUCCCAUGAUGAUCCCAUCCAUCCCAGUAUGAUCCCAUCCAUCCCACCAAUCCCAGUAAUGAUCCCAUCCAUCCCUCCAAUCCCACCAAUCCCAGUGAUAAUCCCACCCAUCCCACCAAUCCCAGUGAUGAUCCCAUCCAUCCCAAUAUGAUCCCAUCCAUCCCAGUAUGAUCCGAUCCGUCCCACCAAUCCCAGUGAUGAUCCCAUCCAUCCCUCCAAUCCCACCAAUCCCAGUGAUGAUCCCAUCCAUCCCAUGAUGAUCCCAUCCAUCCCACCAAUCCCAGUGAUGAUCCCAUCCAUCCCCGUAUGAUCCCAUCCAUCCCCCCAAUCCCUGUGAUGAUCCCAUCCAUCCCAGUGAUGAUCCCAUCCAUCCCAUCCAUCCCACCGAUCCCAGUGAUGAUCCCAUCCAUCCCAGUAUGAUCCCAUCCGUCCCACCGAUCCCAGUGAUGAUCCCAUCCAUCCCAGUAUGAUCCCACCAAUCCCAGUGAUGAUCCCAUCCAUCCCAGUGAUGAUCCCAUCCAUGACCCCACCCAUGUCACCCAUCGACCCCAUGACCCCAACAAUGAUCCCAUCCAUCCCAACAAUGAUCCCAUCCAUCCCAGAAAUCCCACUGAUCCCACUGAUGCCACCAGUGACCUCACCCAUGUCAACCAUUGAUCCCAUGACCCCACUGAUGAUUCUACCCAUCCCACUGAUGCUCCCAUCCAUUCCAGUGAUCCUAUUGAUCCCACUGAUGUCACCGAUGAUCCCAUUGGUGACCCCACCCAUGUCACCCAUCG